UACGUAGGGUGCGAGCGUUGUCCGGAAUUAUUGGGCGUAAAGGGCUCGUAGGCGGUUUGUCGCGUCGAAUGUGAAAACCCGGGGCUCAACCCCGGGCCUGCAUUCGAUACGGGCAGACUAGAGUUCGGUAGGGGAGUCUGGAAUUCCUGGUGUAGCGGUGAAAUGCGCAGAUAUCAGGAGGAACACCGGUGGCGAAGGCGGGACUCUGGGCCGAUACUGACGCUGAGGAGCGAAAGCUAGGGGAGCAAACGGG
rnacentral:rRNA from 1 species